AGAAGGAGGCGGGAGGGUGAAAGAGAGAGAGCGAGCGAGAGAGAAAAUAAACCGCUGUGUUGUAACAGUGAAGUUGGCAGCGAAAGAGAGUAGGAGUAAUGUGUAGUACUCCAAUAGUAAUUUAAUUGACUUUAACACAUUAAGAACAGUCAUAACUACUAUAUUAGUAACAACAACGACAGCAAUCACAACUGCAUUAAUAAUAACACAACAAUAACAGUAAUAAUAGCAACUUUUACCACUUGACAGCCAGGGUGGUGGCGGUGAUAGUGGCCUUUUAUAUAUACCCGAUAUUGGCCAAGUCUUCUUCCGAAUAUUGGCAGGUACCCGUGGAUUUAUUUCAUCACAACAUAUAAACUUAUAUCAAAACAGCCAUCAUUAACGACAUCAUCAUUACAGUAUCACCGACUAUAUAUAUAUAUAUAUAUAUAUAUAUAUAUAUAUAUAUAUAUAUAUGUAUGUCUGUCUGCAAGAAGAAAUCUGAGAGGAUUAACAGAAACAGGAGAUAAUUUCUAAAGAAGAAGAAGAAUGGUUUUGGUGCCGAGAUACUAUUCUAUCUCUGCUGCCAUAUUUUGAUAUAUGUAAAAAAAAAAAAAUACCCAAACAAACAAGGAUUUAUUCUGGGGAAACAAAAACCAAAAUCUACCACCUAAACACACAAAAUUGUAUAUAUAUAUACACACACACAUUCAUAAUAUAUAUUGUUUAUGCAAUAUAGUUCUGUGUCUAGAACUUACACCUUAUAUAUACACACAUGUAUGUAAAUUUGUCUAUGUAAUAUCUAUCUAUCUAUCUUUCUAUCUACCUACACUAACAUAUCUGUGGAUCGGUCUAUAUAACAUAUAAGAUACGUAUUGUACAUUUGUGUAUAUAAAUACAUAUUGUAAAUUCUAUAACAUAUAUACACUCGUUUGUAAAUAUGUUCAUAUAAAAAUAUUUACAAUCAUGUAUGUAGACUUGUAUAUUAUAUAAUACACAGUAUAAAUGUACAGAUAUGUAAAUUUUUCUCAUACACACACAUUUAUGUAAAUUUGUCAACAUACAGCAUGUACAUACAAUAUAUAUACUGGUGAUUUCUGAAAGUGUGUGCAUAUAUAUAUUUUAUAUAUAU
rnacentral:lncRNA from 1 species